CCCUACGGGGGGCAGCAGUGGGGAAUAUUGGGCAAUGGAGGAAACUCUUACCCAGCAAUGCCGCGUGAAUGAAGAAGGUCUUCGGAUUGUAAAGUUCUUUAAUUGGGGACGAAAAAAAUGACGGUACCCAAGGAAUAAGCCCCGGCUAACUUCGUGCCAGCAGCCGCGGUAAUACGUAGGGGGCAAGCGUUAUCCGGAUUUACUGGGUGUAAAGGGAGCGUAGACGGCGCUGCAAGUCCGGAGUGAAAGCCCAUGGCUUAACCAUGGUACUGCUCUGGAAACUGUGGAGCUUGAGUGCGGGAGGG
rnacentral:rRNA from 1 species